rnacentral:rRNA from 1 species
GACGAACGCUGGCGGCGUGCUUAACACAUGCAAGUCGAACGGAAAGGCCCUGCUUUUGUGGGGUGCUCGAGUGGCGAACGGGUGAGUAACACGUGAGUAACCUGCCCUUGACUUUGGGAUAACUUCAGGAAACUGGGGCUAAUACCGGAUAGGAUCUCCUGCUGCAUGUUGGGGGUUGGAAAGUUUCGGCGGUUGGGGAUGGACUCGCGGCUUAUCAGCUUGUUGGUGGGGUAGUGGCUUACCAAGGGUUUGACGGGUAGCCGGCCUGAGAGGGUGACCGGCCACAUUGGGACUGAGAUACGGACCAGACUGCUACGGGAGGCAGCAGUGGGGAAUAUUGCAGAAUGGGCGGAAGCCUGAUGCAGCAACGCCGCGUGCGGGAUGACGGCCUUCGGGUUGUAAACCGAUUUCGCAUGUGACGAAGAGUGAGUGACGGUAAUGGGUAAAGAAGCACCGGCUAACUACGUG